CUGAAUUUCUCUAUUUAUCCACAGAGCAGGAACAACAUAAACAGUGGCAGUUCAAGCUCACCUCACAUCCUUCCACCUGCUUGCCUCAAGACUGAUCCAAAGGACUACUUCUAGGGUGAACAGGUAGGUCAG
ensembl:misc_RNA